AAAAAAUAAAACACUGGAGGUGUAUUUUACUUAGUGUGUGCACUAAGAAAGAAGCGACUCUUCCUAAAACAUACAAAAGCAAUGAGACUCUAACCUAGAAAGACAACAGCAAUAUCACAGAGCUGAAACCAAGACUUGUGAACAGAAGAUCAUGCAAAUCCAUUAAAAACUUAAUACAAAAGA